GGAGGAAGGAACAUUUAUUUGAAGGCAUGUUAGGUGCCUGAUGGUUUGUAACUGUGUCCUCCUCAGAUCCUCACAGCGACAUCAGAAGGAUUCAUUGGAAGCAGCCCACAGGGAAGGGUGUCACCGAGGAGACAGAACCCAGGCCCCCCAGGCCUCUGACGGAGGGGACUGGCGCAUGCUGGGAAAACGCCUCCACAGAGGAGCACAAAGGACCCUAGAAGCUGGGGAAGCUGGCCUGAGGCCAACCGGAGAACAGAGCUCGCUGCGUGAAAUCUCCGGUCUCGCACACUGUCUUGUGCCGAACACGCUGGAA